ACUCCUACGGGAGGCAGCAGUGGGGAAUCUUCCGCAAUGGACGAAAGUCUGACGGAGCAACGCCGCGUGUAUGAUGAAGGUCUUCGGAUUGUAAAGUACUGUCUUUGUGGGAAGAACGAAGUACUUGAGAAAAUUGAGUACAAAUGACGGUACCCAAGGAGGAAGCCCCGGCUAACUACGUGCCAGCAGCCGCGGUAAUAC
rnacentral:rRNA from 1 species